rnacentral:rRNA from 1 species
CGCGGGGGCAACCCUGGCGGCGAGCGGCGAACGGGUGAGUAAUGCAUCGGAACGUGUCCUCUUGUGGGGGAUAACCAGUCGAAAGACUGGCUAAUACCGCAUGAGAUCGAAAGAUGAAAGCAGGGGACCGCAAGGCCUUGCGCGAGAGGAGCGGCCGAUGCCGGAUUAGCUAGUUGGUGGGGUAAUAGCCCACCAAGGCGACGAUCCGUAGCUGGUCUGAGAGGACGACCAGCCACACUGGGACUGAGACACGGCCCAGACUCCUACGGGAGGCAGCAGUGGGGAAUUUUGGACAAUGGGGGCAACCCUGAUCCAGCCAUGCCGCGUGUGUGAAGAAGGCCUUCGGG